rnacentral:rRNA from 1 species
UACGUAGGUGGCAAGCGUUGUCCGGAUUUACUGGGCGUAAAGGGCGUGCAGGCGGUUUGUUAAGUUCAGGGUGAAAGCUCCCGGCUCAACUGGGAGAGGUCCUUGGAUACUGGCAGACUUGAGGAGGGUAGAGGAGAGUGGAAUUCCCGGUGUAGUGGUGAUAUGCGUAGAUAUCGGGAGGAACACCAGUGGCGAAGGCGACUUCCUGGCCUGUUCUUGACGCUGAGGCGCGAAAGCUAGGGUAGCAAACGGG